rnacentral:rRNA from 1 species
GUUGUAUGGUUAAGUGACUAAGCGUAUACGGUGGAUGCCUUGGCAGUUAGAGGCGAUGAAGGACGUGUAAGUCUGCGAAAAGCUGUGGUGAGCCGACAAAAUGCAUUUGAGCCACAGAUGUCCGAAUGGGGAAACCCACCUAUUUAUAGGUAUCGUUACAUGAAUAUAUAGUGUAACGAGGCGAACGAGGGGAACUGAAACAUCUAAGUACCCUUAGGAAAAGAAAUCAACCGAGAUUCCCCUAGUAGCGGCGAGCGAACGGGGAUUAGCCCUUAAGCAAUUAUGAACGUAGUGGAAGCCUCUGGGAAGUGGCGCGAUACAAGGUGAUAGCCCUGUACACGAAGUGUUUGUUUUUGUGAAAUCGAGUAGGUCGGGACACGUGUUAUCUUGACUGAAUAUGGGGGGACCAUCCUCCAAGGCUAAAUACUCCUAACUGACCGAUAGUGAACCAGUACCGUGAGGGAAAGGCGAAAAGAACCCCUGUGAGGGGAGUGAAAUAGAACCUGAAACCGUAUACGUACAAGCAGUGGGAGCNNNNNNNNNNNNNNNNNNNNNNNNNNNNNNGUGACUGCGUACCUUUUGUAUAAUGGGUCAGCGACUUAUAUUUAGUAGCAAGGUUAAGCGAAUAGCGGAGCCGUAGCGAAAGCGAGUGUUAACUGCGCGUUUAGUUGCUAGGUAUAGACCCGAAACCCGGUGAUCUAGCCAUGGGCAGGUUGAAGGUUGAGUAACAUCAACUGGAGGACCGAACCCACUAACGUUGAAAAGUUAGGGGAUGACUUGUGGCUGGGGGUGAAAGGCCAAUCAAACCGGGAGAUAGCUGGUUCUCCCCGAAAUCUAUUUAGGUAGAGCCUCGGACGAAUUCCAUUGGGGGUAGAGCACUGUUAAGGCUAGGGGGUCAUCCCGACUUACCAACCCUUUGCAAACUCCGAAUACCAAUGAGAACUAUCCGGGAGACACACGGCGGGUGCUAACGUCCGUCGUGAAGAGGGAAACAACCCAGACCGCCAGCUAAGGUCCCAAAAUAUUGCUAAGUGGGAAACGAUGUGGGAAGGCAUAGACAGCUAGGAGGUUGGCUUAGAAGCAGCCACCCUUUAAAGAAAGCGUAAUAGCUCACUAGUCGAGUCGGCCUGCGCGGAAGAUGUAACGGGGCUAAGCAAUAUACCGAAGCUGCGGAUACGUGUUUACACGUAUGGUAGGGGAGCGUUGUGUAAGUGGAUGAAGGUGGAUUGAGAAGUCUGCUGGACAUAUCACAAGUGCGAAUGCUGACAUGAGUAACGAUAAUGGGAGUGAAAAACUCCCACGCCGGAAGACCAAGGUUUCCUGUCCCAUGCUAAUCAGGGCAGGGUAAGUCGGCCCCUAAGGCGAGGCAGAAAUGCGUAGUCGAUGGGAAACGGAUUAAUAUUUCCGUACUUAUAUAAUCAGUGAUGGAGGGACGGAGAAGGCUAAGCAAGCUUGGCGUUGGUUGUCCAAGUGAAAGCAAGUAGGCCGAGAAUUUAGGUAAAUCCGGAUUCUUAAAGCUGAGAUGCGAGACGAGCCACUACGGUGGUGAAGUUGUUGAUGCCCUGCUUCCAGGAAAAGCUUCUAAACUUAUGAUUAUAUGAACCGUACCCCAAACCGACACAGGUGGUCAGGUAGAGAAUACUAAGGCGCUUGAGAGAACUCGGGUGAAGGAACUCGGCAAAAUUGUACCGUAACUUCGGGAGAAGGUACGCCCUUGUUUGUGAUAGGACUUGCUCCUUGAGCAGAUGAGGGCCGCAGUGACCAGGUGGCUGGGACUGUUUAUUAAAAACACAGCACUCUGCUAACUCGCAAGAGGACGUAUAGGGUGUGACACCUGCCCGGUGCCGGAAGGUUAAUUGAUGGGGUUAUCUUCGGAGAAGCUCUUGAUCGAAGCCCCGGUAAACGGCGGCCGUAACUAUAACGGUCCUAAGGUAGCGAAAUUCCUUGUCGGGUAAGUUCCGACCUGCACGAAUGGUGUAACCAUGGCCACGCUGUCUCCACCCGAGACUCAGUGAAAUUGAAAUCGCAGUGAAGAUGCUGUGUACCCGCACCUAGACGGAAAGACCCCGUGAACCUUUACUACAGCUUGGCACUGAACAUUGAACCUACAUGUGUAGGAUAGGUGGGAGGCUUCGAAGCACAGUCGCUAGAUUGUGUGGAGCCGUCCUUGAAAUACCACCCUUGUAUGUUUGAUGUUCUAACAUUGGUCCCUUAUCGGGAUUAUGGACAGUGUCUGGUGGGUAGUUUGACUGGGGCGGUCUCCUCCCAAAUAGUAACGGAGGAGCACGAAGGUUAGCUAAUCACGGUCGGACAUCGUGAGGUUAGUGCAAUGGCAUAAGCUAGCUUAACUGCGAGACAGACACGUCGAGCAGGUACGAAAGUAGGUCAUAGUGAUCCGGUGGUUCUGUAUGGAAGGGCCAUCGCUCAACGGAUAAAAGGUACUCCGGGGAUAACAGGCUGAUACCGCCCAAGAGUUCAUAUCGACGGCGGUGUUUGGCACCUCGAUGUCGGCUCAUCACAUCCUGGGGCUGAAGUCGGUCCCAAGGGUAUGGCUGUUCGCCAUUUAAAGUGGUACGCGAGCUGGGUUUAGAACGUCGUGAGACAGUUCGGUCCCUAUCUGGUGUGGGCGUUGGAUGAUUGAUGGGAGCUGCUCCUAGUACGAGAGGACCGGAGUGGACGAACCGCUGGUGUUCGGGUUGUCAUGCCAAUGGCAUUGCCCGGUAGCUACGUUCGGAACGGAUAACCGCUGAAAGCAUCUAAGCGGGAAGCCGGCCCAAAGAUGAGUCAUCCCUGACUUUUAAAGUCCGGAAGGGUUGUUAUAGACGAUGACGUUGAUAGGCAGGAUGUGGAAGCGUUGUAAGGCGUUAAGCUAACCUGUACUAAUUGCCCGAGAGGCUUAACCAUACAACGCCCAAG